CAAAUCAAAGAAUCCAUGUAGCCACUCUCUCUCUAUAAUCUGUCCAGAUAACCCUCCCUUCUCUUCUCAAAGUCGAUCUAACCCUCCCUUCUCUUCUCAAAGCCGAUCUCCCUCCACAGACCCCGAUAUUCCAGCACCUCCUCCUUACUCUGACCGAUCUCCUUCCUCCUCUCACCGAUCUCCUCCCUCGUUUCUCCUCUGGCGACCACGGAUGACGUCUCCUUUGUGGUGCCGAUUUGUUUGAUUUUGUGGGUAUUCAUAGUGUUCACCAGCGAAUCAAACGAAAAUUGAGCCCAAGAAUGGAAGAAUACGACACAAGCUUCUAUUAAGGGAAAUAAUGGAUUUUGUUACAACAAUAUAGUCUGUCAAAUACAUAGGAUUAACAAGAUCAAGGAAAAAAUUUUCUGUCUAGAAGAUGCACCAUCAAAAUCACCUCAGAGGAAGCUGCUUGCAUCAAUAUUUUGUGUAUGUUCUCUGUUUCCUUCUUUUCAAGCAGAUGAUUAGCUACAUAUCUUAUCUCCAAUCCAUGCAAAUAAGGAUGUCUAAUAAUAUUUAUUAUGGUCUACCUUUGUAUUGCUUUUUUUAUUUUAUUUUUUCCCCAUUAAACUAUUAAAUAAGAAGGGUUGAUAACCUUUCUUUUUAUUAUUUUUAAAUUAUUUUUUUCAUGCUUUAAGCAAGUAGAAUAAAAGUUUUGCAAACAAAUCAUGUUGGAUUAUUCACAUGAUCCUGAUCUAUUUGGUAUACAUUUAGAAUGAAGGAGUUGAUGGCAUCUAAAAGGUUGUAUUUGAUUUGAAAUGCUAAAUAAUGAAAACUUGAUAUUUCUUUCUAACAAAUAUAAUGCAGAGCAACUCUGGCUAAGGAUUUAAUAGAAAAUUCAGUUCAUGGAGGAAAUGGUGGUGGUAGGUCUCACAGCAUUACAUACAAGCAUGGUUUGGCUCAUCUUACUCAUAAUAUACCAAGUAAAAGUGGGUUCACAAUUGAUGAGGGAUUUCAAGUCCUGCCAUUAAGGAUGAUUGAGUACUUGUUCAUUUGUCAAAUAGAGAAAACAAUUGCUUUAUUUUUAUUACAUCAUAUUUUUAGGAAUGACAAUUUUGUUGGGAAAAUAGAUCUUGUAAUAGGUUUUAUUUUUUAUUUUUUUUGGUAUAAGUAAUAGUAUUUAUUAAAAACUUUGUAUUGUUGAGUCGAUCUUGUUGUAUUCAUGAUCAAGUUGCUAAUUUUGU